GUGUGAGUCACCUCCUCACGUUCUCCUCCAAGAAGGGACCACAUUCCUGCAUGGUUGCCCCUGGGAAGAGGUGCCGGAUGCCACCUUGCCCCAGCAAGCACGUGUGUCACCAUGGAAUCACAGAGGCCUUUGGGUUGGAAGGAAAGUGAAGCUGAUCUCAUUCCAACCCCUGCCAUGGGCAGGGAGACUUCCACUAUUCCAGGUUGAUCCAAGCCCCAUCCAACCUAGCCUUGGACACUUCCAGGGAUCCAGGGGCAGCCACAGCUUCUCUGGGCAGUCUGCACCAGGGCCUCCCCACCCUCACAGGGAACAAUUCCUUCCCAAUAUCCCAUCUAACCCAACUCUCUGUCAGUCUGAAGCCAUUCCCCCUUGUCCUGUCUCUCCACAUGGGAGCGCAUCCAUGGAAGAGUUCCAGAGGCUCCAAGCAAACCCUUUCCAGGCAGAUCCCUGACUCGCAGGCUGACCUGCAGCACGCGAGGCAUUAACCAGCAGUAAGGGGAUCCCGCCGUGACUCAUCCUCACGGAUCUGACAAACCCUUGAUCCCAUUGAUAAAAGCCCGGAGGGUUCUGGCUCCCGGCCAAAUGCCUCCACUUCAUUCAUGGAAAAGAGGGACAGGGAGGGAAACGGGCUGGGCUCGGGUCCAGGGAACAGAAGCGCAGGCAGAUCUGGCCAUUGCACAGAGUCCUCCUAUAGCCAUGGAUGGAGGCCAGGGGCAUGGGAAGGAGCUGCAGCCAGCCCUGCACAAGGAGGCUCCGGCCAGGAAACAGCAAGACAGCAGAGUCCUGGGCCAGAAACACACCCUGGGGGAGGGAGGAGGAGCAGACCCUUCAGGAAAGCCCUGUUCCUAGGAAAGGUCAUGUCCUUCUGGACAAAUCCCUCCAGUGGCACCAUUAACCUGAGCAGUGUGGUUUUUCCCAGUAGGAUCUAGAGCCAAGCUCCAGUCUUAAACACCAGCAAGACCUCAGCAGCAGGACAGAUCCUUCCAGUGUUGGAAAUUACUUAUGUUUCUCACGGCUUUUUCCUAAUUGCUGCUGGAGAUAAAAAGUUUAAAACAGAUGCCUGUUGUCCUAUCACAAUCUGCCUGUGUUAAAAGUCCCUCUUCAUCUUUUUUUAUAAACACUCCUUUAAGAUGAAGUGAAUUCCAGGUGAGACCAGCUCCUUUUCCCUUCUUUCCACUUUGGACAGUGCUAUAUCCUUCUUCCAGAAAAGCCUGCCCAUCAGACAGCAUUGCUUGGCAUUUCACAUCCAUCUUACACAGAAAUAUUAAACAAA